rnacentral:tRNA from 1 species
GGUAGCAUGGCUGAGCGAACUAAGAUGCUGGAUUAAGGCUCUAGUUUCUUCAAGGGUGUGGGUUCGUAUCCCACUGCUUCCA